rnacentral:misc_RNA from 1 species
UCCCCCCCCUGCGAAAUCGCACUGGACAAUGGUCACCCCCGUCGCUACAUUUCAAAUUAAACAAAAUGAAGAAUAGUAAAAAAGUUAUAUCUUCUUGUGAAAAAGAUUUCAUCCUAACGUGUAUACGCAAUAGGAAGCGUAUAGACCGUCGUCAAUGUUAUGAUUACAGAAAACUAGAAAUAUCAUUUGGAGUAGAUAGAGGUCACUGUGAGGUUCAGUUAGGCAAAACAAGAGUGCUGGCACAAGUUACUAGUGAGAUAGUGCCUCCACCACCCAAUAGACCAUCAGAAGGACAAUUGUUUUUUAAUCUUGAACUUUCGCCAAUGGCAUCACCUGUUUAUGAAACAGGAAGACCAUCAGAACAUACAGCUGAACUAAACAGAUUACUUGAAAGGGUUUACAAACAAUCUCGUUGUGUAGAUGUUGAGUCCCUGUGUAUUGUAGCUGGUGAGAAGGUAUGGUCAAUUCGUGUGGACAUUACUGUGUUAGAUGAUGGUGGAAAUAUUAUUGAUUGUGCAUCUAUUGCUACCAUCACUGCAUUGUCUCAUUAUAGACGUCCUGAUGUGUCUGUUUCUGGUGAGGAAGUUACUGUCUUUUCAGCUGAAGAUCGUGAUCCAGUUCCUUUAAGUGUUCUUCACAUUCCUGUUUAUGUGACAUUCGCAUUUUAUGAUAACGGAGGCUUACUCUUAGUGGAUCCUACAGAAAGGGAGGAAAGUGUCAUGGAUGGCCAAAUGAUGAUGGCAAUGAAUAUUGAUCGUGAAAUUUGUGCAGUUCAAAUGAAUGGAGGAUUAUCAUUAGAAGCUGAACAGGUGUUAAGAUGCUCCCAAAUCACUGCUGUCAAGGUGGCUGAUAUCACUGAUUUGAUUCAUAAAGCAUUAAGGAUGGAUGAAGAAGCCAGAAAGUCGGGCAAGUUAAACGCGACCGGAAUAACGCAAGAUGUUCGUCGUAUAACACUAACAACUGAAGAAGAAGCUGAAAUGGACAUUACAGAAACUUUGGAAUCCAUCACAACUCCAGAACAUCGCACAAAAAGAAACGAAACGGAAGAAGCGUAUCCUCUAAAAUUAGUAAAAUUUGUCAUAAUAUUGGGCUUAAUACUGCCGAGAUUGGUUUGGGUGGAUGGAACACAUGGAUAGAUGAAAACAUAUUAGAACAUGAAGAUACCAUGGCAUCAGAUCAAGAGAAUGAUAGUAAACAAGUUACUGACGAAAUUGUUUUGUCUGGUGAAAGUAGUGAAGAAGAUGAAAUCAUCUUGCUAUCAUCCUCUAACAUCACAGAUUUUCAAGAGAA